CAGAAAUGCGAAGGGUCAGUGAAGGAAGGGAAGGCUAAGGAGAAAAGCAGAACGGCUGAAGGAAAGAUGUGUUUCUUGCUUGAAUAACUCCCUAACAAUCUGCUGAAGGAGUGAUUUUGUAUCAGGCUGAAACCCCAAACCAGCAUCAUUUUAAUUUGCCAAGCACCUGUGAAAGAAUGCAGCUGCAAGACCAUGGGAAAACAAUGGGAACUGUGACAGUUCAUUAAUAUAAACCAGCAACGAGAUUUAUUUGGUAAAGUCAUUGAUACAGAAUUACACUGGAGGACACAGUGGCAUUCCUGAAGUAUGCCAGCCAGCAGCUAACCGAGAUUCUAGAUUUGUGUACAUCAUUUGAACUUCAAUGGUUAUUUGUUUGCUUUGGUCGCUGUUUCCGGUGAAGCAAGAGUUUGGAGAGUGCAAGCGGUGUCAGAACCGUGCUGUGCACAGCUGGGAACGAAGGCACCUCUCCAUGCAAAGCCAGCUCUCGGAUCCAAACCGAUGCAAAGGGAAAAGCUCCGUGCAGGGGGAACAUCGGGGCUGUCCUCGGGCAGGCGCAGCAGCAGCAUCAAGCACGGACCCGGACCUCUGGGUGCAGAACUGAAUUUUCUGAUUUCCAGAUGCAACUGCAAUAUAAAGCAGAAAUAAAACAAGGCAGUUAAAUUGUUGAAGCCCA
rnacentral:lncRNA from 1 species